rnacentral:rRNA from 1 species
ACAACAAAGCAGCCGCGGUAAUACGUAGGGUGCAAGCGUUAUCCGGAAUUAUUGGGCGUAAAGAGCUCGUAGGCGGUUUGUCGCGUCUGCUGUGAAAUCCCGAGGCUCAACCUCGGGCCUGCAGUGGGUACGGGCAGACUAGAGUGCGGUAGGGGAGAUUGGAAUUCCUGGUGUAGCGGUGGAAUGCGCAGAUAUCAGGAGGAACACCGAUGGCGAAGGCAGAUCUCUGGGCCGUAACUGACGCUGAGGAGCGAAAGGGUGGGGAGCAAACAGGCUUAGAUACCCUGGUAGUCCACCCCGUAAACGUUGGGAACUAGUUGUGGGGUCCUUUCCACGGAUUCCGUGACGCAGCUAACGCAUUAAGUUCCCCGCCUGGGGAGUACGGCCGCAAGGCUAAAACUCAAAGGAAUUGACGGGGACCCGCACAAGCGGCGGAGCAUGCGGAUUAAUUCGAUGCAACGCGAAGAACCUUACCAAGGCUUGACAUACACCAGAACACCGUAAAAAUACGGGACUCUUUGGACCUGGUGAAC